AGCACCCGGCGCCUAUAGUAAUGCAAGGCUGUGGCGGCGGCAGUCAAUCCGUAUCGAUACCGUAGUGCGCGACGUUCGGAAAACGAAUCACUUACGUAGUCCGUCGCGUUAUUGAAUAACUAUUAUCCUGUGUCGUAGCGUACCAAGUCAUUAUUUUCGACCGUUUCGUCAUCAUCAUUCGUAAACCGGCCAGAACCGAAUAUUGUAUUGUAAUCGUUGCAAUCGCGGACCGCGUUUAUUUAUUACCGGCAACAAGUACGUAUAACAGUAGAUUCUUAGCGUAACGACGAAUUGUUUUUGGUUUUACUAUUGUUUUUUCGGCGGUGUAAUUUUUGUUUUUUUUCUCCCCCCUCUCCCCCCCCCAGGUUCUGAACGGAGUGAGGGGUAGGUUAUCUUGGGUUUACUACGAUGUGUACGAUGUACUUUUGUGUUUUCUCUUUGUGCGUCGUCUGUAAACAACUUUUCUGCCAGAAGCAUUAUUACACCGAUCAAAACACAAGACCAAAGAACUUUUUUGUAGAAUUCCGAAUCUUGUUGUUAUAUUGAGGUGACAUUUUUUGAUUUUUCCUAUUUUUUUCACAAUUAUAAAGAAAAUAUAAGAAAGACAAACAAAAUUUACUACAAAAAGUUUCAUUUUUUUUUCCCCGAUUCAAUUUUCUACCAAAACUCUUGCUCCGAAUUUGAACAUCUUUUCUGGAAUACGAUUUUAUGCUAAACAUAAAAAAAACUUGAAAGUUUGUCGUAUUUGUCGGUUUUAUUAUUUUCGAUUUCUUUUUUUUUUUCUAAUUCGGUUAAAAAUAAAUGUAUAAAAUUGCACAGACUAACUACAUUAGUCAUUUCUAAAUGUGGUAACAUUUUUAAAACAACCUUUCUGCGAUUUGUGAUUUAUAAAUAAGUAUUUGAAAUUUUCAAUUUUUUUUUAGUUUUUAUUUGUUCAUUUGUUCUGACCCAGUAGAAAUACUUGACAGUUUUACACGAGAUUCAUUAAAAGUUAUAUUUAGUGGUCAAAAAAAAAUUAAGCGUAAUUUAGUACUUAGUGUUUUUUGUAAAUAAAUUUGAAUUUUGAAAAAAAAAUCUUAAAAAUCAAGACAUUCCAAAACUGGUUUAAAGAAGAAUUGCUCAAAUUUUCAUUUUUUCAUCUACGAUUUAUCGUUGCGUAAAAGUAUAAAUUAUAUAACUCUAUGUAACUUCUCAGUUUUUCAGUUUCCAUCUAAAAUUGUAGCACAAAAUAGUUGACAGUAUUUUUAUUAUUAUUAUUAUUUUUUUUUUUAAUAACUUAACAUAAACUAGUUUAAAAAAUUAGUAAACACAUCUAGUUUUCCGAAAAUCUGAUGCUAAUAUUGUAGGGAAAUGUAAAUCCGUUAAUUUAUAUAGUAAAUUUGCUGUAUAGUUUUGUUUUUAAAAUUCGUAAUAAGAGUGGAUCCACUAAAGAAGUAUAUAAAUCGAUUCGUUUUGCGAAUAAAUCUCGCAGUGAAUAUUACUGACUUACUGGUAUUUACAAAAUAUAUAUUUAGAUACCGAACAAAGCGUGUUAGAUUUCGAUUGAAAAAUAAUCCGUACAAAAAAUGAAUGGUCUGCGUGCACUUAAACAUACUAUUAAUAUUUCGAACUCUGGAUAUACGAUAAAAAAAAAUCGCGUGGAAUUAUUAAAAUAUUUUGCCCCCCUCCCCACUAUAAAUCUCUAAAUUCGUAACUCGUAUUAUGCACAUUACGGUGAAUAUUUUCGAAAUAAAUGAAAUCGCGCGAAUAUUUUCAGAGUAUAAAGUAGGUGGGUAUAAACUGUUCGAACAAAACAAAUGCAAUAAAACUAAAUAUUCGAAACAAAUCGAAAUUUUCGCUCCUUUUCUUGUUUAUACCAAAAUUCGAAUAUCGUAUCAUAUUGCCAUAGUUAAACCAGGUCAUUAAUUAUUUACUUUUUUAUGAAAAAAAAAAAAAAAAUCGAUUUUGGUAAAAAUUGUCUGUUUGCAAUUAUAAUUUUAUAAGUAACUACACGAAAUAAACUAUAACCUGAACAGGCUCAAUUAGAAAACUUGUUAGGUAUUUUAAAAUUUAAAUCGAAAUGAUAUAUACCUUAAUCAUUAUGAUUAUAUCAUAUUAUGAUAAAACAUAGUCUACUUAGAGUAUAGUUAUUAUCUUGGUUUAGAAUUUUGAUGCAAUCUGAUAAAUCCAACACAAUAAAAUGUACAAACGCCAUCGGCAAAUGAGCGCCUGAAAAAAAGUAAUGAUGCAGCUGUCAAAUCCAAAAAAAAAGACCUGAUACUGCUGAUAUAGGUGCGCCACUGUUGUAGAUGGAUAGUUGGAAAGGUAGAAUACAUACAAUUAUAUAAUUUAUAUCUGUAAGCGAUGAUAAACCGUUACUGACAGAAAACGAUUAUGUUCUUUUAUUCGUGAUUUGAAAGGCCGUAAUAUUUACGAUUUUCAUCGAAAUUCGAUCUUAAAACCGUUAUAAAAAAAAAAUUAAUUACAUUGCACACUUCUUUUUUUACCACUAAAUACAACUUAGGUCCAGUUUUUCGCAAAUAUUAUGAAAACCUAUCGAAAAUGUUCUUUUCAAUGUAUCAACUAAAUCCAAAAUUCAAUAAAAAAAAGUUCUCUUGUCGAUUAGAGCACAUUGUCUGUUCGAAAAAUUGCUUACAGACGGAAUAAAAAUACUCGUCGUAGUAAAACUAACAAACCAUUCGCUCAGCUCCGAGUCUAAAAAUUAUCAAAACUCUUUGUAUUACUCCUGAACAAUUUCAAAAAGAGGAGUUAAAUGGUUUUUGUUCUGAGGUCUUCAAUAAGUUAUUGAUUUUUUCGUAGAUUUUUCUAACUAUUCGUAUAAUGACGUUUGUUCUGUAAUAAAUAUGUAUCGUUGUUCUUAAGCUAUAUUUAAUAUGAAUAAAAUUAUUGACUAUCAAUAUUUUUAAAAAUAUUUACACAUUUUUAUUUCGGCUAAAAACGCUUUAACAAAAAUAUAAAAUACAAAACCACAAAAGCUAUUUUUUUUUCUGCGUAAACUGCACCACGGUCGUGUCUGAAAACAAAUAUUUGAAUGUGUAGGUAUUCAGUUUUUGUACUUAACUAAUGGUUAAUCUUAAUCUUGAACACACAUCCAUUAAAAAUUUACUAUAGAAUAAGUAUAAUUAACAAUAUGUUCGACACAUAGAUAAUUUUCUCUUCGAUAAUUCAAUAUAAAUAUUAUAAAAUUAUGUAAUUAUUACGAGCAAUAUAAAAUUGUAAUAUCACUUGAAUAAUAGGCAUUUAUUACUUUCUACAAUUUAUUUUUUCAAUUUUUAGAACCCACAUAAAAUAAUAACAAUAAAAAAUGUUGGAUAUUUUUGCAAUUUACUGUGAUAUCAUCUUUAUGAUAAUAAUUGUAUUGUUAUAUAUGGUAUCUGGUCAAAAAAGUGAAAAAAAACAACGAAAAUCAAAUUGGCAAAACAAAAACAAAGUAAAACAACAAUCAUGGGAAGGAAAAUACUAUUAAUAAAGUAAAAAAAAAAUAAUGUCAAACCGACAAACUGAGCCGCAUCAUCCUUCUUACAAAAAAACAAAACAAAAACGUGCCCCAAUAAUGCAAUGAUAUCGUAACAUUUGCCAAACUUUUUGUCAAUCUAUUUUUUUCUCUUCUUCUCUAUCCCUCUAUACACGAAAUCGAAAAAAAAAUGUAUAUAAGUUAGAACGAACAAAUUAAAUAAUAUAAAUUUUAAAGUUUUUAACAACUUUUUUGCUCCGGUAAUAAUUUCAAUAUUUAAUUACAAAAUUGUAUUUUUAAUUCAUAUUAAUUUGUUUUUCUUUUAUUAUAGUUUCUUUUCUACGAUUUUUUUUUUUUUUGUGUUCGCCAAUUCGGUUUUUGCUAAUGGUUUCCUGCUGUUCAUACGCGUAUACGAUACAAACACCUUAAUGUAAUUUAUUCGUUGAACAUAUCAUAACUCAGCAGUUAUCUCUUAUGAUUAAUAAUAUUAGUCGAACAGUAUCUAUUACAGAUGUUAAGUGUCAUUUUAAAAUGAAACAAAACGAUUAGUUUAAAUUAACGCCACGUCGUCGUAAUAUAUCAUAUAACAUUCAGUAUCCUCUUCUUCGGUACGUUUGUCAAGUACCGUUAUUUCGAAAUUAAAUUACUAAUGAGCGAACAUUUAUUUUAGAUUAAUGUCAAAUAUGAUUGGGAUUAAGAACCUAACGCUAAAAUAAUAAUAUCGUUUAAAAAAUAAUAAUAAUAAUCGUCUUUUAUAGAUUGAAUGAAAAUUAAUAAUUCCAUUAACUUACGAAGACGGUGAAAAACAAUAAUACUUAGGUUCCGUUAAUGUUGACAUUUAAUUUAUUUGGAUGAUUUUUAUUUUAUUAUCCUUUUUUAUUUUUUGCGCUUAAUACUUAUAAUGCGAAGACUUUAGAUUGUCUUGCCCACAAAGCAUUUGAUGAUUAAUGCGGACAUAUUCCGAACCCGCACCACUAUACCCCGUUUUAAUCUUACCUCCGGAAUUACUGCUGCGGGCAUUAAGAUUAUAACAACUUGAAUAACUCAGUGUUAUGCGCAAAGCCAUUAAAGAGGCCAAAGAGCGAAAUAAUAGAAUAAUAUUGUUAUUUGUUAAACGGUUCGACCUUUUGGUCACAGUUAUGGUAUUAUUAUUAUUAUUAUUAUGAUUGUGCUUAAUUCAGCCUAUUCGCGAAGUUUAUUUAUCUUCUUGUCUGCGUUUUGAAUUUUUACUUAGUAUAUACUAUCAUUAUUAUUAUAAUCGUAGUUAUUAUCACGAAAGUUUAAAAAUCACCUAUUUAAAUAAUUAUCAUAGUUAUCAAAAGAGAUUUAGAGGCCAUUAAGGUGAAACAAACUCCUAGACGUAUUACAAAUCUUUCUAUGCUGAGUUUAGUAUACUUCACUAAAAUUUUGUCUAUUAAUUCUUUCUCGUUUCUAUCAAUACACAUCUGAUUUGACCUCUUCCCCCGGAUAAAAAUAAUCAACAUGUCUUGUGAUAAUUAUUUUAAAUGUACAAUAAAAUAUCUAUAUCUUAAUAGAAAUUAUGAUGAUCAAGUAAUAUGCGAAAACAAUUAUAAUAAUACAUGGUUUCAAUGAAAAAUUAACGUAAUUUUUUUUCAAUUUUCAAUUUAGUAUAAUAUAAGAGCCCGAAUUCCAACGCAGUGCAAUUUUUUAUCAUCAAAAACUAUGUUUUAUAAGUACAUAAUUCGUUUUAGAUACUCCAAAAUUGAAACAUUUAUUUGGAAUUUAUUUUCACAAAUUAUUCUGAUUUCCUCUACUACCGGUAAUUUUAUUAGUUUUAAGUCCAUAUUUUGAACAUUAUACGAAUUAAUGGAUUAAAUGCAGGUACCACAUUCAAAUUAUUAUUUCAAGAAAUUUUGUAUUCAUAAAAUUUGCUUUGACAGUGUUUAGGAACUAAGGUAUACUUUAUCAAUACAGAUUGUCAAUCGUUCUAUUUAUGAUGUUUAUGGCAUCUUUAUAUCUUAUAUUUAUUAAUGGCCGUUGAACAUAGUAUGUCACUCAGACUCAAACAAACCACAACUAAGAAAUUUAAACUUAAACUUUACAUACUUCACCUUUUUCGAAUUAUUUAUCAUAUUUAUCAUAUUAGGGAAUUUAAAUCUGGGCCCUAAUAAUAAUUGAAUUCGUUCAAAUACAGAAUUACGUUCAUUUGGUAUAAUGUAUGCCAUCAGGAUGGAAAUUUAUACGAGUAUAUAGGUAUCUAGGUAGGUAUAAACACCGGAAGAUAUUUAAUUAUGAAACGAUAAUCGAUGAAUGUAUUGAACGCUCGAGUGCGUCGUUUAUUAAAUAUUGAAAAGUUACACGACUACGUAUAUGCUUUUUUUUUUUUUGUAGAACAGUUGAGAGUGAAAUUUACUGCUCUAAAAGUCUAAAUAAUAUAUAUAUAUAUAUAUAUAUAAGGUACCUACUUGUAUGUGACCGGGCGGGGGAAGAAAGAAAAAAAUGAAACGAAAAGGUUGCUACAUGAUAUGUAAUCGUAUAACGUUUUAAAACUUACUUGAUACAAAAUACAAAUACAAGGCGGGGCAGUGAAACGAGUGAUUUUAAAACAACCAUAAAAUACCAACAAGUUAUUUUUUAACAAAUUUAUUUAUACCAUUUUAAGUGUGUAAAAUAGCAACGAAAAGUUGUUAAAUUUUUAUUAAUGAUAUCCGAAAUAUAAUGUCUACCUUAAAGCAAUAAUGAUCUCUGAAAAGUGAAAACUAAACGUGACAUUUCGCAGCGUUUUCUGAGGGAUUUUCGUAUGCAUUGUUUGAGAUCGUUAAAUGUUCUCGCCAUUUUUUAGUAUACCUACUCUACUCCUAAGAUACCUCCUCAGAAAAAUAAUCACCAUCCGUUAAAUCCAUUAAAUCAGCCUAUGGAAUAUCCCCAUUUAGAAAAAUUUAAUCCGUACGGAGACAAAUUUUUCCGAAUUUUAGGUUAGUGAUUUUUUUCUGUAGUAGCAUCCUAUAACUGGAAAGUAUACCAAAGAAUACCGAAGACACUUGACGAUCUCAAACAAGGCAUCCGAGAAGAGGUGAAUUAUAUCUUUCGGUAAUUACUGCGAAAGGUCAUAUUCAGUUUUUAGAGACGCCUUUGAUAUGGACGCCUUCUUGCGAAUGUCACGUAUAAGAAUGUCUUUUUUUUUUUUUUAAAAAAAAAAGCUAAUUUACAUAAUUCAAGGUGGUAUAAAUGAAUUUGUCGAGAAAUUACUUGUUGGUCUUUUGUGGAUAUUUUUUGAUGACCCGUCCCACUACUCCAUCUCGCAUAUAUUGCCGUGUAGGUAACUACUGCCAGGCCCGACGAGAGAAGGACGGCGAUUGAGGGUGAAUCACUCCAGGCCCGGGAUUUUCGUGGAGCUCGGUGUGUGAACUGAAAAAGCAAAGAAAAAUAAGUGUUUACGGAAUUCGACAAAUCCCGGCCCCCAUUAGUAUCCCGUAAAACCCUAGUGAAAAACAAUUGCAUUAAUAAAUUACCGUGGCUUGUUGUCUUACACCGCGUACAUAGCACGACGGGAGUUUCAAAUAAAUAAUAGUGUAAAGUAGAUACCCAUGGGCUAUGUUUAUAACACGUGCGACACAAUCGUGUCCGUAGGUUUCGUAGCAUCGCGUAAUGUGUUUAAAAUAAUAAUUCCAAUAGUUAUCUUUAGGUCGUAGACUCGUAGAUCGGGUAAAUAAGACGAAAAACGUCGCAGGACGGUGCUGUACGUUGGACGUGUUUUAUGUUUUGUAUGUUUUUUUUUUUUUAUUUUUUCGUGACUCGUAGGUAAACAAAAAUACGGUUUUACGUAAUGAUGUGUAUUAAUUUUUAAUUGGAAAUAUCGAACACUUAUGUAAAAUAUGGGAUAGCAGGGUGGGCCUGUAUGUAACCUAACCCGCGGACCCAAAUUUUCUCUCCGCGGCCUUGGCUACUGCCGCUCAAUAAAUAAAAUACAAUACAAUAUUUUCUGCACCGCGUAUACGAUGGGAUCCGCGUGGAAAAUGUCACUGUCACGCGGUUGCGAUACCGCGGUUUGACCGGUGCCGUUUCAUUGCUCGACAUUUCAAAUAUACGUAUAUGUGUUAUGAAUAAUAUUAUGUGUAUGCCGGCUUACAGCUGUAGCACGGAUAUUGAAGACAGCUAAGGAAAUUCGAUAUCGUGGUGUAUAAUCUAUACGUACACACUUUUCACGACGAGGAAAAUGAAUAGUAAAUAAGUCGAGUUUACGUAGCCAUAGAUUACGUGUACACUGUAUAUAAUAUACAUAUAUAUAUAUAUAUAUAUAUAUAUAGAGAGAGAGAACUGAAAAAAUGAAAAAUAAAGUACAACGGAAUAGAAAAAAAAAAACCAACCCUCCCGGAGUCUCGUCGUAAAUCAUUGGCGAUAGCGAAUUUCGAUACGGCGCGAAAAAAAAAUACGAAAUCGUACAAUCUCAUUUUUUUUUUUUCUUCUUUAUAAUAUAUAGUCGGUAUCUUCCGCGAAAAUGAAUUCGUGUACUUAUUGCGACACGGGUGUACGGACGUAUAAGUCGCCGUCCUGGCUUAAUGACGUCGCAUAAUACUUUUUCGAUACACCGUCAACGUAGUGGGACAUUGUAAAUUAUAAUACAGGGUCUUCCAAACGUUACGCCGUGACGGCAAUGCUUUUCACUGUGAAAUAUUUCGUUAUUUUCAAAUACACAUUUCUUCCUCGAUCACUUUUUUGUCGAAUUUCCCUCGAAAAUACCCCGAGACUACUGAACUAUAAAUGUUCGUGUCUGUUACAAUAUACACACACACACAUAUCUUUUUCCCGUUCCGAUUUAUAAAAGCUCUACCGGAUCAUAUGAGCUCGAACUCGGGAAUUGUAGAAAUAUUUCAUAUGUAGAUUGAAUUGACAAAAUAUUGGUUGAAUUUCAAUAUCAAUUUCACUAUAUUGUUGAGGGAGGAGGUUGUUUGUUUUUUUUUUUUAGCAUUAUACGCCCUUACAGCCCCUCAAAUAAAAUAGUAUACAAAAUUGAACUCGCGAUUGUGUAAAAUUAGUUAAAAAUAGAUUCAAAUCAUUUUUGCAGAUAUAUUCAAAGUUACUGGCAGGUAAUAGAAUCUCGAUGGUCGUUCGUUUCAGACGAUCCGAAUUAGUAGAAAUAAAUAUUUGGAGACUAUUUUAUUACAAGCUUAAAAGCUUCUCAUAAUAGUAUCAUAGCAUUUUAAAUCUCCUACUUACCUAAUUCGCAAACAGUCAUCGAGCCAAUAUCGAAUCAUAAUGCCGGUAAAAUUGCCAAGGUCCUCUUGGAUAACGACUGUUCACCAAAAGAACAAAAUCGUAUCUAAUAAAAUAUAUACGAGUAGACGAUUUUAAACACACCUUAGUAAAACGAGUAGUUUCUUUGCUACACGCUCUGAAUCUAAAAUGCGUGUGAUAUUUAUAAAUAUUUGAAAUCUGAAGGUAUAUAUUUUAAUUUUUAAAAGAGCUAAUAAUUCUGAUUAGUGUGGCACUAAUUUAGGUGGAAAAUUGGAAAAAUAAAAUAUAUAAAGUUAUUUUUAUUUUUUAUAUGUGAGCAACGAUAAACCAUUGCUAAAACGAUUCUAAGCGAAAUUCGUUUAUACGUAAUUUGAAAGGUCGUAAUAUUUAACAUUUUCAUCAAAAUUUGAUCUUGAAAUCAUUGUUUUAAAAAUUGUAAAACGUCUAAAAAGGCAAAUGGUAGUUUUCUAUUAAUGUGUUAUUUACAUAAUAUGCCAAAGUACCACGCACAAUAUGUUUAACUGAAUUACAACGAAAAAAAUCAAAUUUAAAAUAAUGAAACCAUUAUUUCCGUAAACUAUCCCGUUUUUUCCGGUUUUACUCAAUUAUAAAAACUGUUUGGAAAAUAAAAAACCGAUUUUUUACUCACCAACCGCAUUAAAAAUCCAAUAAAAUAGGUCUCUUGUCGUUUUUAUAUUGGAACAACAUUUCUGGCAGCAAAAAUAAAACCUACAGAUUUAUAACAGCGUAUAUAUUCUAAGGCGCUGUUGAAAAUAAUUUUUCACGUCGUUGAAAAAUGAUGUGUUAGGUACGGCGGAGUAUGAUAAAUAAUUUACUAAUAUAUAAAUAAAUAAUAAUAUGAAUAAAAAUUCCAUAUCUACGACAUGGGCCUGUAAACUAGUGAUAGGAAUAGUAGUAGUUUAUUUUGACAAACUAAUUCAGUAAUUCGUCGUUCAUGAAAUGGACCUUUUAAAUGAUUCGCUGAAUAUCGUACGUCUAUAUUGAUCACUAAACAAACUACACCACGGUACCGUGGCCUAUCCCGCUGAAUCACGACCCAGGAAAGGUUUUUUAUGAUAAAACGAUUCAUUUGAUUCAUUAAUGAACGGCGUUCAAUUUGUUCGUGAGUUAUUAUUGAAUCGUUAUUUUAGGUGAAUCGUUCGUUCGCAAACUAUAAUACAACUCUAUUGUAAAUGCAUACCACGUGGAUUUAAAUUAAAUCAUUCAAUAGCCUUUUUUAAAUUGUUUUUUUAAGGCUCUUCGGGUCGUUGUUUAUCAGUGGGUGUAUAAAAGUAUUUUUGGAUUUCCCGUUGUCGUUUGUGUUUUUUUUAUAGUAGUCUUUCUCCGACGUAAAUACGAAAUGUGAUUAAAAAUUAAAAUAGCCGAUUCGUCAAUCGCUUUAAAGAUUACGUUUAUUUAUUUAUUAACCGUUGACCCAAACGUACAAUGGAGUUUAGUCGCAAGUACAUAUUUAUCGCAUUAGAAUAAUAUUUGUUAAUUUACACAUUUUGAUUUGAUUAUUAUCUGCCCAUGGCCGUAGGUAAAUUAAAAGCUUGCGGAAGAGCUAAAUAAUAAAUUGUUAUAUUGUAUUUUAGUUAAACAUUAAUUAAAAAUAAAUUAUUUGAUUAUCAUAAAUUAUCCUGUUAACAAUUUUAAAUUUACAUUUUCCCUAUGAAUGGUUCUUAUGCGCAUUUUCACAUUUGCUCCAAAAUGUACGACGGAAUCGGGACAAACUUAAAUAAUACAAUAAUACACGGUAAUAAAUGUAUGAGGCAAAUUGAAAUGCAACAGAAUAACAGUUUAUUAUGGUAAAAUAAAUGUAUACUUUAUUAUUUUUCUAUUUUUCAAAUUAAACAAUUUUUAUAAUUAUACAUUAAUUUGCUCUUUAAUCUAUGUUCGCACAUCAGUAUUUUGUGUCCCGUAUUAGAAAUUAUCUGCUUAAAUUCACCUACCUAUAAUAUUAAAAUAACAAAUACAAAACACUGCGACAAAUGAACGCAGUAAGUACAUACAUCAGUUUUCUGUGUCCCAUUUUAUAAAUUACUAAUUUUUUAUUUUUUCUUUAUGCAUAAAGUAGGCAAUUAUCAUUUUUGAAUUGCCCAAUUACCAAUAUUUACAUAUUAUAUAGUAUUUUACAAUGAUUUUAUAGUUUAAAUAUUUUGUUACUUAUUAUUUAUAAUUAUUAAGUACAUAAGUUAGGUUAGAUGCAAAUACCAAUUAAAACUUUGGACUUAAUGUGUCUUAUAAAAAUUACUUUACAUAAUUAUGUAUUUUUAUUAUCAUAUGUCAUUAUACCAUAUAAUAUAUUGCAACAUUUUGGUUUUUUUUAAAAACUGCGUUGUUGACAAAAAUUGUUAAAUUAUACCCGGAUUGAAAAUAAUGAAAUUGUCCGUCGUAAAUUUGUUCGUAUUCAUUUUUCGUCUUUUAUCUGGUUCUCCCUAUUGUCAUGAAAACCUUUUGGAAAAUCAAUAAGUUAUCGAAUUAAAACUAGAUACAAAAUUCGUUAAAAAACUACUGUUUGAAAAGUCGUUUACAGACAUAAAUAAAACACUCGUCAUAGUAAAACCAACAGAUCUCUCGUUCCGCUCUGAAUUUAAAAUGAGGACUUUUAAUAUUAUUAAAAUAAUUUUAUUCGCGUAGCCACUACUGUUAAUUGUUGUAAUAACGCAUUAGGUAUUAGUGUGUUAUUGUAAUAUUGAACGAACUACUGAUAACGUUUGAAUAUUUAUUUUAAUAAUGUUUUGUUUUUUUUUCAUUUGCGUAAAAUUUGGAAAUUUAACUUUUUUUAAUUAAACGGGUUCCUAUUUAAUUUCCCCUUUUUAAUUAAAUAGCAACUGAAAAUAUGAUAAAUAUCAAAUUCGUUUUACGAAUAUAAAAUCCCGAUUACAAAAAGUUUUCGCGUAUCUACAAUUUGGAAGACUCUGUAUAUUAUACGUAGUCACGUAGAUAAAGCUGUUUGUAUACAGAGUGCUUAUUAAAUCGAGUGCUAUUAGCAUUAUUACGAUCGUUUUAUUACCCGACCCUAUUCCUGCGGUCUAAAUUCUCAACUGUUAUAAUACAACGUUACAAUAACCGUCAUAACGGCAAAUCCAAUACAAGUCCUAUGCAUACCAAUAGGUAUGUAAAAUAUUCGUUUUUUCGAAUUCGCGUCGGAAAAACGGCUGGGAGGUCGCCGUUUAAAAACGAAAAGUAAAUACGCUCAUUCUCGGUAUACGGAAUGCGCAGGUAGGGGUAAACGUUUGAAAAAAUCGUUAUCAAGCUCAAACGCAGUGUGUCGCGUACGAAGAUUGACAGAAAACGAAAAAAAAAAAAAAAAAAAACUGUUGGCUUUACUUUAAUAUUAAGUUUAAGUUUCCUUCGGGGAAAAUCGGCGAAAAAGAAUCGCUCUGUAUAUAAUAUAAUAUUUUUGUAUUACACUAUCCAAAUGCAAUAAUAAUUUUUAAUAUACGGUACGCGUGGUGUGUGUAUAUAUAUUGUACAUUAUAAUAUAUUCGGUAUCGCGUAUACGGCACUCGGUAUUGUGUGUAUAUGUAAGCGCGCGCACCCGCCGUCCCGCCCGCCCGCCCGCCGAACAGCCGCCCCGUGUCGUGUGUAUCUUUAUAUUACACGGGGCUAGCGACAGCGACGGCGACAGUGGCGGCCGGUGUAUAUAGGUGUAAAACAUCCGGGCGCGGUGCGGCGGUGUUGCCGCGCGGUUCGACGGGUGGUCGCCGCGCGGGAGGUGGCGGCGUCCGUCGGCGGUGCGGCAGGGGAGCGGUGCAGGGGUCAGUGGCGGCUGCGGCGGCGGCGGCGGCGUGGGUGUUUGUGCGCCACUGUAUUGGCCGCCGCCGCGGCCGCCGCACACACACUCGUUCGCCGCGCGGGCUCGCAAACGCACACGCCAGAGUACAUAAUAAAACAGCACGACUGUCGCGCGCGCGUUUUCGUUUUUGAUAAUAAUCGAUAUCGCGGCGCGUACACCGGGUGUGCUCUAUGGCGGCGCGGAGCGGCGAGCGGAGUAGUCGGUCGGCGAUGGGCGGGCCGGGAGUUCGCGCCGGUGACGUAAUAACAUGCGUGUGCGUUUCUGCGUGUGUGUGUGUGCACGCGAGCGCGCCGGCCGCUCGAACUUAAUAUCGCGUUCGAUGCGCGUGCGCGCUCGUGCCGCGCUUGUAUGAAUGCGUGUGUGCGCGCGGCCCGCGCGUGUGCGUGUGUGUGCGUGCGUGUUUGUGUGCGCGCGCGCGCGCGCGCCCGUGCACUAUAAUUCACGCAUGCGUUUUUCGCAGGCCCGACGGACGAAUCAUCGGCGGCGCUGGUCUGCGGUAGCGGCGGCGUCUGCGACU